rnacentral:rRNA from 1 species
UACGGGGGGGGGCAAGCGUUGUUCGGAAUUACUGGGCGUAAAGGGCUCGUAGGCGGCCAACUAAGCCAGACGUGAAAUCCCUCGGCUUAACCGGGGAACUGCGUCUGAUACUGGAUGGCUUGAGUAUGGGAGAGGGAUGCGGAAUUCCAGGUGUAGCGGUGAAAUGCGUAGAUAUCUGGAGGAACACCCGUGGCGAAGGCGGCCCUCUGGUACGUGACUGACGCUGAGACGCGAAAAGCGUGGGGAGCAAACAGG